rnacentral:rRNA from 1 species
GGUGGCGAGUGGCGAACGGGUGAGUAAUAUAUCGGAACGUGCCCAGUCGUGGGGGAUAACGCAGCGAAAGCUGUGCUAAUACCGCAUACGAUCUCAGGAUGAAAGCGGGGGACUCGCAAGGGCCUCGCGCGAUUGGAGCGGCCGAUAUCAGAUUAGCUAGUUGGUGGGGUAAAAGCCCACCAAGGCGACGAUCUGUAGCUGGUCUGAGAGGACGACCAGCCACACUGGAACUGAGACACGGUCCAGACUCCUACGGGAGGCAGCAGUGGGGAAUUUUGGACAAUGGGCGCAAGCCUGAUCCAGCAAUGCCGCGUGCAGGAUGAAGGCCUUCGGGUUGUAAACUGCUUUUGUAUGGAACGAAACGGUCUGCCUUAAUACGGUGGGCUAAUGACGGUACCGUAAGAAUAAGCACCGGCUAACUACGUGCCAGCAGCCGCGGUAAUACGUAGGGUGCGAGCGUUAAUCGGAAUUACUGGGCGUAAAGCGUGCGCAGGCGGUUAUAUAAGACAGAUGUGAAAUCCCCGGGCUCAACCUGGGACCUGCAUUUGUGACUGUAUAGCUAGAGUACGGUAGAGGGGGAUGGAAUUCCGCGUGUAGCAGUGAAAUGCGUAGAUAUGCGGAGGAACACCGAUGGCGAAGGCAAUCCCCUGGACCUGUACUGACGCUCAUGCACGAAAGCGUGGGGAGCAAACAGGAUUAGAUACCCUGGUAGUCCACGCCCUAAACGAUGUCAACUGGUUGUUGGGUCUUCACUGACUCAGUAACGAAGCUAACGCG